rnacentral:lncRNA from 1 species
AUGAAAUAGAUGCAAAGAUCAAUUAGCAACAUUCCCAGGUCACCUUGCUGGUUAGUAAUGGAGCUGGGAUUCAAACCCAGGCAGUCUGACUCUAUGGCCAGUCCUUAUGACAAUUAGCUUUUUUUUUUGCCUCCUUGAUUGGCUACCUCCAGGGAAUAUAAAGAACUCUCACUUCUCUCCCUUCCGUAACCCUCACUGUCAAUAUUCUCUGUGAGGGGAAAUUUCAAAUGGCUUUGGGCCUUCUACACUCAGCUGAACUUCCUAGCCUCCCAGAAUUCCCUGCCAUAUCCUGAGAGUGGGAUGGGGAACCAUUCAAUGACCUUGCCCCAUUUACAGGGCACCACUCAUGUGCUUAGUAUUAUUAAGGCUAUAAAAAGGCCUCUGACAAUGGGCUCCUGCUUUCAAGUUGUAUACAACCUUGCAAACACAAGGUUCCUCAAGUAACUGGAGGACAAGCCAGUACAUAAUCACGUGACAACAUGAUAUAGUUGUUUAGGAGAAUGCGAGAGUGAAUGGAAUAGAGAAAUAUAAAAAGAUUGCCAGGCAGCAUUAAGAACCCACUCAAGGUUAGUGUUCAUGUAUUCAAAAUGAGCCCAGUUGGCAUGGUGACAUUUUUCUAGUCAUGCUCAGCUAUGUGAGUGCAGUUGCGCCAUAGGCAGAGAGUUAGAACUAUAUCUGGAUUGGGGCUUUGCUAAGAAAGUAUCAUAAGUAAGAGCUGAAAUAUAUUCAAGGGAGUGAUUACAAUGAUUGACCGUGGAGGUCACUUGCACCAGGUUUAGAGGGAAGACAUGAGGGAUAUGGUGACAGUGAAAAGAUGUCAGCGAACUGUUGAUCCCAGUGCGUUGAGGAUUGUUGGAGGCAGAGCAUGAGAGGGGCAACGUGAAUGCUGUGGAAAAAUCAGAAAAGGUACAAUUCAUGUGGGCCAGAACAGUUAGGGGAAACUUUCUUUGAACGUGGUGGGGUUUAAUCUGAGAAUAAAGGAUAGAGAAUAAUUCAAGGUAAUGAGACAAAGCAUAGAAGAUAGAAGAUUCCAAACUGGGGCAUAUAUGAGCAAGGGCAUGAAGCCCUGCACUAAAGAUAAUGUCUUUAGGAAAUACUAAGGAAACCAGCUUUACUAGGAUAUAAAGUUCAGGUUGGGGAGUGGUAGGGCAUAAAUUUUGAACGAUGAGUAUUACUAGAUGAUGACUUAGGUACAGGAAGGACGUGGACUAUUUCCAUCUCCCAAAUAUUCCAAAACAAAUCUGUAUACUUUAUUCCUUUGUUUGCCAGUGAGUGUGAAUAAGGUCUCUGUAAUUUAAAUUGACAAUACUUCCCCUGUUUGAAAACCUUGUCACAUUUUAUCAGUAACUUUCCCCCCUGUUUUUAACACCUUUUAUUAGCUCCAUAUGGUGAAUUUAUAUGUUUGCCUUACAGUGUUCUGUGUUGAAUAAUUUAGUGCAGCUACAGUUGACUGAAGCAGAGAUUCAACAUACAUUUCAAAGCUUCGAAAAACUUAACCCAAAACGUCCAACUGAUGAGAUUUACACAGUAACCUGGAGACGGUAAUUACCAUUGCCAAUUAAAAGCAACCAAACACAAAUGAUUAAACUUUAUAUAACCAAAACCAAUUCUCCAUGCUCCACAUCAUUCAUUCAUUGAACAUUUGAGCCCCAACUCUAAGCUAAAAACCCCGGUAGGUCAUGGGGAAAUGAGUGAAACAGCCCGUCCCAGGCUAGUGAGCGAGACAGGCAAGUGAAAAAAUACUACCAGUAAGAUAAGUGCUGUGAUGGAGGUAAACUCAGGGGCAAAUAGGAAAGGUUCCUUACCUGGAAGCAGAUGAGAAGCCAGAAAGAUGUCUGUGAGGCGUUGGCAUCUGAGCUAAGUUUUGAAAUUCCAGCCGCACCUAUUUGACCAGCUACAAAGAGGCGGAGUGGGUUUCUGGCAGAGGAAACUGCAAACGCAAAGGUUCAAAUGAGAGAAAGGCUCAAGUGGGAGAUGGAGGGAGCUCCCAAGUGAAUCUUUAAAAUGCCACCCGUAUCUGGGUUCCUGAUAGCUUCCUUAUCUGAUGAGCGUGAGGCAGAGAAGUAGCUCAGACAGCUUUGUCAGCUUCAGCCGGAUGAGGAACUCAGAACGAACAGAGCUUUCCAACACAUGUUUGAUAUGAUGAAGUCACAUUUGUCCUCUAAAUUGGGAAUAUUGUUGCCAUUUUUAUGGCUUGGUCUUUUUUUUAACUAAAAAUUCAUCCAUAUGUGCCCAGAUUUCAAACGGUGAAAGCCAUUCAUUUCCACUCCUUCAAGUGAAAUGGAGUCAUUGUUUGAAGAAAAGAUUAUGGGAUUAUGGCUGUUAAGUCCUUUCCGCUGGGAACUGAGUGGCAGUUUAGUAGUGACUGUGUGGUUCCACCACGCAGCUGGGCCACACCACCGAAGCCUCAGACCAAGGGCGGAGCUGACCCAGACGGAGGACCAGAAAUCAUGAGACACAAAGGAAAAGAGAAACCUCUCGUCUUAAAGAAAAAAAGAAAGAAAACUCCUAAAAUCCCAACUUUAAGGUUUCAAGAAACAAUGAGAUGUACAGCUGUGACAAAAGCUGCUUCAUGUCACACUUCUCUUGUCACAGUUGCCGGUUGCGUCCUGCCGACUCAGCUUCUCUUUGUCUCGCUUUUCUUUGCUAACCCCAGGCGAGAUUUUGCAGUGCAUGACUGAGAGAAUGGCCUCUGUCUCAAUGCCAAACGAUGACUAAAAUAAACAUAGAAAACCAAAUCAUUGUCUUU